GCUCUGCUGGCGCAAUGGUAGCGCGCAGGACUUCUAAUCCUGAGGCUGUGGGUUCGAGUCCCACGUAGAGUG
rfam:Dactylellina haptotyla CBS 200.50 unplaced genomic scaffold scaffold00244, whole genome shotgun sequence.